rnacentral:rRNA from 1 species
CGUACCCAGUCGUGGGGGAUAACUCUCCGAAAGGAGAGCUAAUACCGCAUACGUCCUGAGGGGGAAAGCGGGGGAUCGCAAGACCUCGCGCGAUUGGAGCGGCCGAUAUCGGAUUAGCUAGUUGGUGAGGUAAAGGCUCACCAAGGCGACGAUCCGUAGCGGGUCUGAGAGGACGGCCCGCCACACUGGAACUGAGACACGGUCCAGACUCCUACGGGAGGCAGCAGUGGGGAAUUUUGGACAAUGGGGGCAACCCUGAUCCAGCCAUUCCGCGUGAGUGAAGAAGGCCUUCGGGUUGUAAAGCUCUUUCAGCAGGAACGAAACGGUCGACUUUAAUAAAGUCGUCUAAUGACGGUACCUGCAGAAGAAGCACCGGCUAACUACGUGCCAGCAGCCGCGGUAAUACGUAGGGUGCGAGCGUUAAUCGGAAUUACUGGGCGUAAAGCGUGCGCAGGUGGCGACAUAAGACAGAUGUGAAAUCCCCGGGCUCAACCUGGGAACUGCGUUUGUGACUGUGUUGCUAGAGUGUAGCAGAGGGGGGUGGAAUUCCACGUGUAGCAGUGAAAUGCGUAGAGAUGUGGAGGAACACCGAUGGCGAAGCUAGCCCCCUGGGUUAACACUGACGCUCAUGCACGAAAGCGUGGGGAGCAAACAGGAUUAGAUACCCUGGUAGUCCACGCCCUAAACGAUGCCAAC